GCCCCCAUCGUCUAGUGGCCCAGGAUCCAGGAUUCUCAGUCCUGUGACAGGGGUUCGAAUCCCCUUGGGGGUA
rnacentral:tRNA from 1 species